UAAAAGAAGCUUGAAAACUUCAAUCAAAGUUAAAGACAAAGUCCGGGAAAGCAUACCAGUUAAAGUGGGGAAAUCAAAGAUCAUAUAUUCGAAUUGCAAAAAUAUAAAACCAAAUGAGAAAACAAUUAUUUCAAAUCAUUAAAAUGAAAGGAAGAAAUAGAUCGGAGGUUGAAAAUUGGAAAAUCUUAGAAAUAUAAAAUAUUAAAGAGAGUUCCAAAUAUGAAAUUUGUAGUGAAAAAAGGUUAUGAAAAAUUAACAAAUAUUUAACAAUGCUCAAAGGCUGGGUAACGUGUUCACCAUAUAUUGACUUAAUUAGCCACUUUAUGAUUAAUUUCCUAGAAAGCAAAAAUACAUUUUGUCAAAAAUUCUUUCCUCAGAGUUUGUCUUAGUUUUAUAUGCAAAAAUACAAUUUGUCAAAAAUUCUUUCCCCAGAGUUUGUCUUAGUUUUAUAUGUAGAGUUGAUGAGACAUGAUAAUUUUAGUUAAGAAUGUCAUGAUUGUGGGGGGAAAACUGCAUAAGAACAGGGACAGGUCUCCUAUUAUUCAUAUAUCAUGGUGCUUGAGACAUUUCCAGCGUCGGAAUACAAUCAAAAAAUCACAUUCAACAAACUAAAUCGUGACUAUAAGAUUGACAAAGUGCUUUCUAUAAGAUAAAGAAAUAAUACAAGAAAACACUCUAAUGCCACAAAGCAUACUAAAAUACUAGAAAAAAUAUACGAGAAUAUAGAAUUGAACAGAGGAGUAGGCUUCAGAAAGAUAAUUAUGGCCCGUCAAAUCAUGUUCUCAAAGAAAGUAUAGUUUGCAUUGAUCGUUUAAUUCAGCUUAUGAUCAUUAGCGUACCCAUAAAUAAAUUAAUAAAAUAGUAAUAUUCAUGCAAAGCAUCAUGGAAAAAGUAUAGAUUUGCUUCACCUUCCAGUUAACUAGCUUCAAGUUUGAACUAAAGAUUUCUGAUCUUCAGUUAUUAAAUGAUAAGACCUUAAAAAAUAAAAUAUGAAGGUCAAGACGGACAAGCGUAUGAAUAUGAGUAUAAACAGUACUAAUAAAAUGAAUGGUUUCAGUAUGUCAAGUUUCCCAAGGUGCAACAUAUUGAACACGAUACAGACGGACAAGCAUUUAAAGCAUAUUAUUUUCUUUGUUUGUUUUAUUAAUAA